AUGUCAUCACCUGACAAGACAGAGCAAUCAGCGCUCCAGCGUGAGACACAACAGGCAGCGAGAAUACCAGCCUCCUAUCACAGCGUUCUCUCACCGUUCCUGCACUGCUCAGGGAGAGGUGACUCAUCUGCUGUGCGAGCGGGGCCAUCAUGGAUGUAGGCUGCAGUGACAAAGACGGGUCCAUAGAGGGCGAUAUCACUGUACCCUGGAAGAAAAGUGUGAGCAGAAGGUGGAAUAGUCACAAGUUGUCUAUAAGCAUCUUGGCUGGCCUGAUGCAUCUAGCAGUGUUUUCUCGUCUAUGCUGGCUCAUUUUCAGAGCAAGAGAGAGGACACUUCUCUCUCAAUUCAAACCCAUCUGUUAUAAUCUGUUCGGCAUCUGUCAUCAAAUACACAGCUUUACAUAGCCUCUCCGAAGCAGUCGUUUUAAAAUUCCUAAACACUUGUGAAUCCUCAAGGAUCAGUGUCACCUUAUGUGUUAACUAAUACUCUUACAUAUUGUGCUUGUCUGUUUACAGAAAAAUGUUUAAAUUCUGUUACAACCACAGAGGGAACUGUUUUGAUGAAAUAUUUGAUGAAAAAUUUUGAUGAAAAAAAAGUGAAAGAGCAUGUGACAAUGAAGACAGUGAUUAAGAGAAAAUGAAGAGAUUAUGG